rnacentral:tRNA from 1 species
AAAGAAUUAGUUAAUAUUAUAACAUUAGACUGUCAAACUAAAAUUAUCAAAUUAUUGAUAUUCUUUU